ACUCACCGACGAGGCCGCCCAGCUGUUGAAGUUGUGACUGUCUCUCUCCGGGGAGACGGACGACGCGUCCACCACGGCGGCCGAGAGCUUAACUUAGCUCCGAGGGCAACUCAGCAAAGAGCAGGCCAACAACAGGUGCAUUUUGAGAGCUGCUAGCAUCGUUUGAAAACCUGCCCACUUUGCUGCAGGCCGCAACCCACCACGGGCCGUGUUCCAAGCGCGGGCCCUGAGUCAGUUAUUUGGAACUGGGUACUCUUCUGAUGUGCGGAUUGAAAACAACACAGAGCGUCCCUUCAGGGUCCUGUUACACAGGCGCGCGGCAUCACCUGGACUUUUUGUUUAAACUGAUACAGCCGCUUCUAAUUCUCCAACGAGCUCGCCAAUACUUCACACACAGGGGCCUGCGAAUCCACUCAGGAUAAAGCUAAAUGCUGCCUCUCUCUGAAGAGCCGCCACCGUCCCGAGCCGAGCUGGCGGCUUUCACCCAGAGCUUGUGGCAUGGUCUCGUCCGUACCUCCCCCGACUGCGUGCUGGCCUUUGUUUACCCUGUGCCUGGCAGGCAGGACAGGAAUCCGCUCACCCUGGAGCACGCUUGCCUCUUCGUUUUUAAUGGCAGUUUCACUCUAACUCUGCACAUGGCGCACCCCGGCAUACAAGGGUUGUGACGUGCCAGGGGUUAAGGAGAGGUCUGUUUGUUUAUCUGAGAGGCAGAGACAGAGACACAGAGCUCCAGUCUGCUGGCUCACUCCUCCAGUGCCCACCGAUGGCCAGGGCCUGGCAGGCCCAAAGCUGGGCGUGCAUCCAGAUCUCCCAUGUGAGUGGCAGGGCCAUCACUGCUCCCUCCUCGGGUCUGCAUUAGCAGGAAGCCAGAAUCGGGGGCUGGGGCUGGGGCUGGAACACAGGUACUCUGAUACGGGACACAGGUGUCUUAACCACCAGGGCCCACACCCGUAUAGGGAGGAGUUGGAAGCAAGGAGGACCUGCAGAGGCUGGUCCCCGACACACCCGUGUUUCCACAGGAGCUGGAUUCAGUCUCUGAGCACUGGUUUGCUACUUUGUCUGCAACAAUGCCUGGGUCUUCUAGCACGCCCAGCUUCACACUCAGGGGUAAAGCACUUGCAAGCCCCAGAGACGCGCUGAGAUGGUGUGCUGUGUUGGGUUCUCCGUGGCGUGGCCAAGAGACAGGACGGAGUGCCAUCCCUGCUAGUGGGCAUCGGACAAGAACAACACCCAUGGGUGGGGCCAAUGUUGUGGCGUAGCAGGUAAAGCCUCCGCCUGCAGUGCCGGCAUCCCACAUGGGCACUGGUUCAAGUCCCGGCUGCUGCACUUCCGAUCCAACUCUCUGCUAUGGCCUGGGAAAGCAGUAGAAGAUGACCCAAGUCCUUGGGCCCCUGCACCCACGUGGGAGACCCGGAAGAAGCUCCUGGCUUCGGAUCAGCAAGCUCCGGCUAUUGCGGCCAUUUGGGGAGUGAACCAGCAGAUAGAAGACCUCUCUCUCUCUGCCUCUGCUUCUCUGUAACUCUUCCUUUCAAAUAAAUAAAAGAGAACCUUAG